GAACGCUGGCGGCGUGCCUAACACAUGCAAGUCGAGCGGACCAGAAAUGGAGGUAACUUUAUUUCUGGUUAGCGGCGAACGGGUGAGUAACACGUGGGUAACCUGCCCUCAGGAGGAGGAUAACUCGGGGAAACCUGAGCUAAUACUCCAUAAGACCACGAGCUGAAAUGCUUGUGGUAAAAGAAGCAAUUCACCUGAGGAUGGGCCCGCGGCCUAUCAGGUAGUUGGUAGGGUAAUGGCCUACCAAGCCUAUGACGGGUAGCCGAGCUGAGAGGCUGGCCGGCCACACUGGGACUGAGACACGGCCCAGACUCCUACGGGGGGCAGCAGUGGGGAAUAUUGGGCAAUGGGCGAAAGCCUGACCCAGCGACGCCGCGUGGGGGAAGAAGGCCUUCGGGUUGUAAACCCCUUUUGCAGGGGACGACACAGGACGGUACCCUGCGAAUAAGCCACGGCUAACUCUGUGCCAGCAGCCGCGGUAAGACAGAGGUGGCAAGCGUUGCUCGGAUUCACUGGGCUUAAAGGGCGCGUAGGUGGUUUUGUAAGUCUAAGGUGGAAUUCCACAGCUUAACUGUGGGACUGCCUUUGAUACUGCAAGGCUUGAGUCA
rnacentral:rRNA from 1 species